AUUGAACGCUGGCGGCAUGCCUUACACAUGCAAGUCGAACGGCAGCGCGGGAGCAAUCCUGGCGGCGAGUGGCGAACGGGUGAGUAAUAUAUCGGAACGUGCCCAGUAGUGGGGGAUAGCCCGGCGAAAGCCGGAUUAAUACCGCAUACGACCUGAGGGUGAAAGCGGGGGAGUCGCAAGACCUCGCGCUAUUGGAGCGGCCGAUAUCAGAUUAGCUAGUUGGUGGGGUAAAGGCCUACCAAGGCAACGAUCUGUAGUUGGUCUGAGAGGACGACCAGCCACACUGGGACUGAGACACGGCCCAGACUCCUACGGGAGGCAGCAGUGGGGAAUUUUGGACAAUGGGCGCAAGCCUGAUCCAGCAAUGCCGCGUGCAGGAUGAAGGCC
rnacentral:rRNA from 1 species